CUCAUGUACUCUCACAUCCUCCUUUAUGUUAUGAUUUCAGAAACUGAAAGAAAUUUCAACAAAGCAAUUCCAAUAUAAAUAUACUAUAGUCCUAUAGGCCCACAAGAGACUGAACUGUUGUCCACAAUAUACUGAGCCCAGUAGGAGAGGGAGUCAAGAUGCUUCAUUUUUACUUGAACCAAUACUACCUAAAGGUGAAAGAUGACAAGACAUGAGUAAAUUGCUAAAGACCCAGAAAGACCAGAAAGACAGCAUCAGGACCUCCUACAUGACUACUAGAUGCAGAAACCAAGAACCAAAUGAUUACGACAGAUUGCAGACAACUGGGACAGAAACGAGUUGUUCACUUAGAGGCACUACAAUUAGCGUGCCCAAGAGACCACGAAGUAACCGAGAAUGAGAGUAAUACCUAUUCAAGUCUCUUGAAACUCAAUAAUGGGAACUAACUGAAAGAAGAAUUCUUACAUCUUGAAUUGGAAAUGAGAAUAAGUUUGUUAUUGGUAAAGAGAAGAAAGAAUAUAUAUGGUUCACGAACAGAAUAUAACUAGAAAUCCUGUGUGA
rnacentral:lncRNA from 1 species